rnacentral:lncRNA from 1 species
UCACACCAUGCGUCCGCACUUUCUCACAUGCCAUCGGUGAGCCGCUCCUCCCUCCUUUUCUCCCUCCUUCCCCGCUGCGACCCACACGCCCUCCAUGCCGCCGGAGUAGAGCGCGACGGUGGCAGCUUCCAGUGAGCGGCGUAACUCCCUUCCUCCCUGCUCUUUCUCCUUCGCUCUCGUGACCUCCAUGCAUCUGGAGAUGGAGACAACGACGCGGCUCCGACGAGGUAGGUGGGGAGGGAUUUGGAUCCGAAGCCUUUCUCUCCCUUUUUCCUCUCUCCUCUUGUGGGUCUAGGUCUGAGCCCUCCUCUGCUCCUCCUCCACCUCUUGCUCCUCCUCCUCUUCCUCUGGAUCUAGAUCUACGAGAUAUUGUGUUGGCUAGGGUUUCGGCAAGCUCAUGGGAUUCAGUGCUCGCGCGUGUUGUAAUGAUGCUCUCUGGUUUUUGUAGUAUGUUUUUCAGUGAUGUUGCAGUAGGAUAGGGUUCCGGCGAGCUCUCGGGUUCAGAUCUCGUUAUUAUUGCAAUGGUUCUCUCUAGACGUUGCAGUAGGUUUUAGUUGUUGUUGCAGUGUUGUGUUUUGAGAUGUUAUUUCAGUUGCUUUUAAUCUGUAUGUUGUAGUAGUUUGUUUUAUGUCGUUACAACAACUGUUCGGUGUUGUUGUAGUACUAUGUCCAUAGUGUUUUAGUUGCUCCAUCCAAUGCUUCAAUUUGCACUACUGUAUUAGUUGUUGCAUGUUGUUGCAACAGUUGGUCGAUGUUGUUGUAAUACUAUGUCUAUGGUGUUUCGGUUGCUCCAUCCAAUGCUUCAACCUAUGUUGUUGUAUUAGUUGUUACAUGUUGUUGCAACAACCGUUCUUUGUUGUUGUAAUACUAUGUUCAUGGUGUUUCAGCUGUUCUAUCCAAUACUUCAAUCCGUAUGUUGUAGCAGUUGUUUGCAUGCUGUUGCAGCAGUUGUUCGUUAUUUGUUGUAAUACUAUAUUUAUGAUGUUUCAGCUACUUCAACCUGUUUGUUAUAGCAGUAUGUCAGGUGUUGUUGCACUAUUAUGCAUAUUGAGUUGCAACGUCAAGUAUGGAGGCAGGUUGUAGGGACGAGUUAGCGGCAGACAGAUCUGCUAGGGGCCGACAAAGCGAGGGGCGGGGCGGAUCCCAUGCUCGUGGGGGCAGAGAACGGGCUCCUUGCGCGGGGAACGAACAAAGGGCGGUCCUCUGUGCGGGGCGAGUGGGACAGAGGUAAGUUGGUUGGGAGGAAGCGGACAAGAAACGGUCUUCUGGGCGGGACGAGUGGGGCAGAGGUGAGUUGGUUAGGGGCGGAUGGGAUUUUCUUUUUUUUCUUUUAUGUGGCGCGGGUGGGGGGCUCAGCGUCCGGACGCGUUGUUGGCGUCAGACGUCCGGGCGCUAGCAGUUCCGUUUGAGUUUUGCGUAGAUUAUUUUGUUUACAAUAGUUUCACCGUCUUCGGUUUGUAAAACCCCACGUUGAAAUCUUAAUCAGACAUCUGCAAAUUGUCACUUUAAUUUAGUUGUAUUUUACCUUGUUUUUGCUUGUGUUCUUCGAUUCACAGCAGAGAUUAUCCUUCUUGACGAGGUCAACCGGAUUGUGACAUGGUUGAUAACUAGAGGAGACGUGGUGCUAAGGUUGCCGGAUUCAGGUCUUUAUGAUUUGAAGUUGGAUUAGUGUGUCACUCUCUAAUCAAAUUGUUGUUUGUCAAACCUAACAGAAGAUAAAAAAUCCUAGUUCACAUUAAAACUUGUUCGUUUGUCUGAAAAAAAAUCUUAGACCUGUUCGCAAGAACAAGGUAAAAGCCGUGCCUUCUUGCGUUGCUCCCACUUUCAUAACGAGGCAGAAAAGGAUCGGAGAACACAACGUACGGGGAUG